rnacentral:rRNA from 1 species
UACAGAGGUCUCAAGCGUUGUUCGGAAUUACUGGGCGUAAAGGGUGCGCAGGCCGCGCGGGCAGUCAAAUGUGUAAUUCAGGGGCUCAACCCCUGCACUGCGCUUGAUACUUCCGCGCUCGAGCUUUGGAGAGGAGUCUGGAAUUCUCGGUGUAGCAGUGAAAUGCGUGGAUAUCGAGAAGAACACUUAGGGCGAAGGCAAGACUCUGGACAAAUGCUGACGCUCACGCACGAAGGCUAGGGUAGCGAACGGG